rnacentral:rRNA from 1 species
UACGAAGGGGGCUAGCGUUGCUCGGAAUCACUGGGCGUAAAGCGCACGUAGGCGGAUCUUUAAGUCAGGGGUGAAAUCCUGGAGCUCAACUCCAGAACUGCCUUGAUACUGGGAUCUCGAGUCCGGAAGAGGUAAGUGGAACUCCGAGUGUAGAGGUGAAAUUCGUAGAUAUUCGGAAGAACACCAGUGGCGAAGGCGGCUUACUGGUCCGUACGUGACGCUGAGGUGCGAAAGCUGG